rnacentral:rRNA from 1 species
UACGGAGGGUGCGAGCGUUGUUCGGAAUCACUGGGCGUAAAGGGCGUGUAGGCGGUCCGCUAAGUCUGAUGUGAAAGCCCGGGGCUCACCCCCGGAAGUGCAUUGGAAACUGGCGAACUAGAGUCCCGGAGAGGAAGGUGGAAUUCCUGGUGUAGCGGUGAAAUGCGUAGAUAUCAGGAGGAACACCGGCGGCGAAGGCGGCCUUCUGGACGGUGACUGACGCUGAGACGCGAAAGCUAGGGGAGCAAACAGG